rnacentral:tRNA from 1 species
GAAGGUAUAGCUCAGUGGUAGAACGCAUUCUAGCAUGCACAGGGUCCUGGGUUCAAUCCCCAGUACCUCCA